rnacentral:sRNA from 1 species
GCCAGGAGCGAUGGCGCACACCUGUAAUCCCAGUGACUCAGGAGGCUGAGGCAGGAGGAUUGUGAGUUCAAAGCCAGCCUCAGCAACUUGGUGAGGCACUACAUAACGCAGUGAGAACCUGUCUCUA